CGAGCUUUAACUGCUGCAACUGCAGCAACCCGUGCCGUUGGUCCAGAUUCUGUCUACUCAAGUACUCCAAUGCCGCACGUUAUGAAGAGCUGCCAGAGACAUCCCCAGUCAAUUUGCACUGCCCUUCCGCCCCUUUACUCCUUCCAUCUUCGCUGCAACCUCAGAACUCGGCAAAGAACCUCAAGCAUCCUCCAAGUCUUACAAAGCUGACAAAUUUUCCGACAUAAUACAGGAACCGGUGUUCUGGUUUUCCAUGGUGGCCGUCCAGCCCUUUUGACCUUUAUUAUGGACAAUCUUCAAGCCCUUCAUAGUAGACAGGAUUACAGUGCCUGGAAAUUUGUACCUAAUUCACGGAGGAAGUAAACAUUCUUCGCUUGGCUCAUCUGAAUUUGAGAGUCUGGUGGGCGCCGUCAAAAUUCUGAUUGUUGUAUAUAGUGUCCGGUAAUGCUAUCCUUUGUUUUUAUACAGAUCGUUCUCCAGCAACCUUUUUGGCUAGAAUUUCCACCUGCAAUUUCCGGUCGUAAGGAGCAAUUGUUGUAUGAGGCUAUUGCUUCCAAGUCGGAGGGUACGUGCAAUUCAUAUUUUCACAGGUGUCGACUUUUUAUAAAAUGGUUGGUUAAGAAUAGAUUUCGUCUUUCGUUUCCAAUAAGGGAAGAUGUUUUGGCAGUUUAUUUUUCUGAAAUCAAGUCCAGGUCCAAUUCUGAUAGUGUCGUUGCAACAACUGCUGGUGCCAUCAAAUGGCUUCACUCCUUAAUGAAUGUUUACACAUCAAUCAUGUAGAUUCUCCCCUUGUUCAACAAAUGCUGAUUAGUUUCAGAAAAGAUCUUCACCACCCUCCGGCUCAAAAGGUUCCUUUAACUUUGGAGCAACUUAAGAAAAUAUUGAACAUCUUUGCCAAAGACGAUUGUUCUCUUAUGCAGUUUCGUCCUGCAUGUUAUGUGUGUAUUAAGUAUGCUUUUUUAUUAAGACAUAAUGAAAUUACAGAAAUGUAAUGCAAUCGUAUUACGGUUCUUCUCAACAGCAAAGGUUUUAAGAUUUUCAUUCCUAAAUCCAAAAACUGAUAAGUUCAGGCAGGUUAACGUGGCGUUUAUUCCGUUUUCUCAAGAGAGUCAUUCGCCAUUUUGUAUUUUGCUAAGGUUUUUGCACAGACCCGGUAUAGGUAUUGGGGACGACGAGUUUAUUUUUACCCCCCUUACAUUUUGUUCUUCCACCAAAUCUUCCAAGCGUACUCGGAACAAACCACUAACGUACACUAGGUGCAGAGAAUUGUUUUUAGAUGCUCUAAAAUCAAUUGAUAUCUACGAAAAAGGCCAAUCUUUGACAACCUCUCAGUGGUGCAGUUUAUUACGAAUUAUCCGUAUUCAAAGGACAGAGUCAAGGUUAACUUCGCAGGUUCAACUUAAACAUUUCUUUUACUUGUUUCUAUUUAUUUUGGCCUGAAAUUUGUUGUAAUUUGAUACCUUGUUACGUCAUCAAUUACUUGUAAUUUUAAUAUGAAAGGGCUGCGUAGCACCGUGAUCAGAAUAUUCACAAGAAUAUAAUAUAUAAUUAGUUUUCUGAAAUAUAUAUUUGCAAUAUAUUUCAGAGCGCUCAUUAUAUGUUACAUUCUUGUAAUUUUAAUACCUGGUAAGUCAUUGUGACGUCACAAAAGCACGCACAUCUUGACUUAAUGUUUCUUUAGUAUUACGUUUCACAUUAAUUUCCUAAACCAUUUAAACCAUAGGCCCCCACCUACUGCUGUAUUCAUGUGAAGGGUUUCUAAGCAUUUAAAACAUACCUGAAUGUCUUUAAAAUAUAUUCAAGUAUCUGCCUUGAUUGGCUGGCUGGUGUGGCUCGCAUGUUCGUUUGUUUGCUUUUAGUGGAUUUUUUUUUUUACAGAGGUGAUGAUUUCCUCUUUAUUUUAGAACCAUACAACUCCCACACGCAAAUGCCUUUCAAACUUCUCAGAGAAAUGAACUUUGUGUGGACGGAUCCAUUUACGUCUUCGCAAGUUGCACUGUAUGCUUGCUGGGCAAAGCUUUUAGAGCAUUCGCCGACCCUUCUACUGAUUCCUUCCGGGUGAACCUAACAAUGCAAACGGGGAAGACUGUAUGGAGAUCAAGUGGAGAAAAUGGAACGACCUGAAGUGCAACUUGCCCCAGCCAUUCAUCUGCAAAAUGUGGCCUUCUUACGAAGAAAAGUGAGACUCAAACACAGUGUACCUUAGCCCCGAAAGUGGGAAAUCUCGGUAUUAUUGGAAUUAACACCAUUCGUUACAUACUUUCAAGGGUUAUUUGAUUGUUCUCCCAGUGGCAACGCGUGGAAUGCUCCUUUCUUUACGGUCCCUCUUAUCGGAUUCACUAGCUGGGAUUUAUUCAUCCUCUGAAUUUUCGUGAGGGGAAUCGUUGUUCUGAUUGUUCGUAACCAGUGUUGCAUAGGCUUGCAGGCCAGUAUACAGAAUUGAAGUUGCUGAAGCCCAAGGCAAAGUCACGUUUUCCCAUUUGAAGUGCCUGGACCGGUUUUUGUGCGAGUCACGUCCAUUAUUGUGCAUGUACAUGUACAUGAACUUGCCAGUCGCGAAGGGAUUGAGGUCAGGCUCCCGAAAACAACCACCUCGGUUAACUGAGGAGCUCACUGGGCCGAAUAACUGACCGCAGUGAAUGAGCCGUAUUCCCGAAAAAAAACCCACCAUUUUAAGCGUCCCAGACUGAUGACGAGUGCUCUAGACGAGGUUUGACUAGGCUAGUGUUUUAUAAGAUCUUCGCAUAUGCGUCUGCCGUAAACGGCUACGGCCGAAGAGUAUGUGUCAACACUCUGCUG